rnacentral:rRNA from 1 species
GACGAACGCUGGCGGCGUGCUUAACACAUGCAAGUCGAACGAAGUGGCGAACGGGUGAGUAAAGCGUAAUCAACAUGCCCUUCAGAGGGGGACAACAGUUGGAAACGGCUGCUAAUACCGCAUACUGAAGAAGGGGAAGGCGUCUGAUUAGCUAGUUGGGGGGGUAACGGCCCACCAAGGCGAGGAUCAGUAGCCUGUCUGAGAGGAUGAACGGCCACAUUGGGACUGAGACACGGCCCAGACUCCUACGGGAGGCAGCAGUGGGGAAUCUUCCGCAAUGGACGAAAGUCUGACGGAGCAACGCCGCGUGAGUGAUGACGACCUUCGGGUUGUAAAGCUCUGUUAAUCGGGACGCGGUACCGGAAUAGAAAGCCACGGCUAACUACGUGCCAGCAGCCGCGGUAAUUC